CUUUGGUAGAGGAGGUUGUUGUGUUAGUAUUGCCAUGGGUAGUGUUAUGAGCCUGGUGAUAGUGUGACAAGGCUUUGGUAGAGGAGGUUGUUGUGUUAGUAUUGCCAUGGGUAGUGUUAUGAGCCUAGUGAUAGUGUGACAAGGCUUUGGUAGAGGAGGUUGUUGUGUUAGUAUUGCCAUGGGUAGUGUUAUGAGCCUGGUGAUAGUGUGACAAGGCUUUGGUAGAGGAGGUUGUUGUGUUAGUAUUGCCAUGGGUAGUGUUAUGAGCCUGGUGAUAGUGUGACAAGGCUUUGGUAGAGGAGGUUGUUGUGUUAGUAUUGCCAUGGGUAGUGUUAUGAGCCUGGUGAUAGUGUGACAAGGCUUUGGUAGAGGAGGUUGUUGUGUUAGUAUUGCCAUGGGUAGUGUUAUGAGCCUGGUGAUAGUGUGACAAGGCUUUGGUAGAGGAGGUUGUUGUGUUAGUAUUGCCAUGGGUAGUGUUAUGAGCCUGGUGAUA